rnacentral:rRNA from 1 species
UACGUAGGGUCCGAGCGUUGUCCGGAAUUAUUGGGCGUAAAGGGCUCGUAGGCGGUUUGUCGCGUCGGGAGUGAAAACUCAGGGCUCAACCCUGAGCGUGCUUCCGAUACGGGCAGACUAGAGGUAUGCAGGGGAGAACAGAAUUCCUGGUGUAGCGGUGGAAUGCGCAGAUAUCAGGAGGAACACCGAUGGCGAAGGCAGAUCUCUGGGCCGUAACUGACGCUGAGGAGCGAAAGCAUGGGGAGCGAACAGG